ensembl:lncRNA C3P1 complement component 3 precursor pseudogene
AGGAGGGAGCCUGGACUUUGGAGGAUGGGGAAGGCAGGCCAGGGCCCGGAGUGGGUGAAGACUUCUCAGGACUAGGCCAGAAGCCCAGUGGCCAAUUGAGGCAGGAGGAGCUCCAGACAACAGCAUGUGAGGCAGGCGUGGAUUUUGUGUACAAGACAAAGCUGGAAUCUGUGGAGGUCUCUGCCUCCAACCCUUACGUCUAUUACAACACGCAGCUCGAAGACAUCAUUAAGAGUGGUACGGACCCUGCCACACCCCUGGCCAUGAAGAAAUUCGUCUCCCAUGCCACUUGCCAUGACUCCCUGGGGUUGCAAGAACAGGAAUCGUACCUCAUCAUGGGCCAGACGUCAGACCUGUGGAGAAUCAAAUCUGAUUACAGCUAUGUUCUGGGCAAGGAGACGUUCCUCAUCCUUUGGCCAGCAGAUGGAGAUGCCAGCAAGAAAGAAUUGCGGGACCAACUGGAGGAAUUUUUGGAAUAUAUGCGCACCCACGGCUGCCAGUCCUGAGCCUCUUCUGCUUUCAGGGAGGUGUCAUCAGGCAGCUCUGGGCCACUGGGUUUAACCCCAAAUAAAGAGCACAGGAUAUGACACCCAAA